UACGAAGGGGGCUAGCGUUGCUCGGAAUCACUGGGCGUAAAGCGCACGUAGGCGGCUUUUUAAGUCAGGGGUGAAAUCCUGGAGCUCAACUCCAGAACUGCCUUUGAUACUGGGAAGCUUGAGUCCGGAAGAGGCGAGUGGAAUUCCCGGUGUAGCGGUGAAAUGCGCAGAUAUCGGGAGGAACACCAAUGGCGAAGGCAGCUCGCUGGGACGGUACUGACGCUGAGGCGCGAAAGCGUGGGGAGCAAACAGGG
rnacentral:rRNA from 1 species